UACAUAAAUAUGUAUCAACCACAGAACUGACACUUACUAGCAGUUCCCACUCAAUACCAGUUAACUCACUGUACAAGACUCUCCCCUUCACUUCACUCUACUGCAGGGUGAGAGAUGCAACAAUGGCCUUCAGAACAGCAGGAAGUGUGCUGGUGGUCUUUCUCUGGUCUGUAGCAGUGAUUCUGGGUCAGAAUAGCAGGAUUGUGACCUACACCAAGAAACGUUUCUGUACCUUGAAGGGGUCAACAGUGGAUCUAUCCUGCUCUUACACAUAUCCCAGAGGUCAUACAGUCACAGCAACCACAUGGUAUAAAUGGAAGAGUUUGACGUGGACUCACAUCCCAGAUAAAUAUGAGGAUCGUAUAGAGUACCGUGGGAAUAAGGAGAAUGACUGCACCCUGAGAAUCACAGACCUGAGAGAGGAGGAUUCAGCAUCAUAUUACUUCUCAUUUUCAACAGGCUCAUUGACAUCUGGC